rnacentral:rRNA from 1 species
CUUUAUUGGAGAGUUUGAUCCUGGCUCAGGACGAACGCUGGCGGCAUGCCUAAUACAUGCAAGUCGAGCGGACUUGAAGAGAAGCUUGCUUCUCUGAAGGUUAGCGGCGGACGGGUGAGUAACACGUAGGCAACCUGCCCUCAAGUUUGGGACAACUACCGGAAACGGUAGCUAAUACCGAAUAAUUGUUUUCUUCGCCUGAAGGAAACUGGAAAGACGGAGUAAUCUGUCACUUGGGGAUGGGCCUGCGGCGCAUUAGCUAGUUGGUGAGGUAACGGCUCACCAAGGCGAC